GGAGUCGAACGUGCUCGUCGCGAUUUCGAAACUUGCCGUUUGAAAUUUGAGCUCACGUCGGUUUGUCUCAUCUUUCGUUGUUACAUGUCUCGUAAUAUUGAUGUGUUUCCUUAAAUUUAAACUCUACACAAUGCAUACAAUGAAGGAAAUAUUAAGAACAAGAAUAAAUAUUAAUAAUCAAGAUCUAUGGAACAGGAACAAAGAAUAAUGCAGUAAAUUAGACUUUCAUCGGCAACCUAAUUUAGUAUCUUCAGAUUUGGGAUUUUAAGGAACAUUACAAUUUUUUGCAUCAUUCUAUACUGUAUAAAAAUCUCGUAUAUUUCUGAAACAAUAACAAUGUG